GCAUGAGAAGCGAAUUAUUGCAUUCGGUUUCGGCCCGUACUUUGGAGAGCAUAGCUCUUCCUCACGCU
rnacentral:tRNA from 1 species